GACGAACGCUGGCGGCGUGCUUAACACAUGCAAGUCGAACGGAAAGGCCCUGCUUUUUUGGGGUGCUCGAGUGGCGAACGGGUGUGUAACACGUGAGUAACCUUCCCUUGACUUUGGGAUAACUUCAGGAAACUGGGGCUAAUACCGGAUAGGAGCUCCUGCUGCAUGGUGGGGGUUGGAAAGUUUCGGCGGUUGGGGAUGGACUCGCGGCUUAUCAGCUUGUUGGUGGGGUAGUGGCUUACCAGGGCUUUGACGGGUAGGCGGCCUGAGAGGGUGACCGGGCAGAUUGGGAGUGAUAUACGGACGAGUCUCCGAUGGGAGGCAGCAGGGGGGAAUAUUACACCAUGGGCGGAAGAAUGAUGAAGCAACGCGGCGUGCGGUAGAACGGCCUUCGGGUUGUAGGCCGCUUUCGCAUGUGACGAAGCGUGAGUGACGGUAAUGGGUAAAGAAACACCGGCUAACUACGUG
rnacentral:rRNA from 1 species